AUCCCAUGAUGAGGACUCUUACGAAGUAACUCCUUGAAUCGCUCCCAAGCCUCACACAAAGACUCAUUAUCCAAUUGUUGGAAAGUUGUUAUCUCGUUCCUCAAAUU
rnacentral:snoRNA from 1 species